rnacentral:rRNA from 1 species
UACGAAGGGUGCAAACGUUGCUCGGAAUCAUUGGGCGUAAAGCGCACGUAGGCGGCCUCAUAAGUCGGACGUGAAAUCCCUCGGCUCAACCGGGGAAGUGCAUCCGAAACUGCGAGGCUCGAGUAUGGAAGAGGGUCGCAGAAUUCCCGGUGUAGAGGUGAAAUUCGUAGAUAUCGGGAGGAAUACCAGUGGCGAAGGCGGCGACCUGGGCCAAUACUGACGCUGAGGUGCGAAAGCGUGGGGAGCAAACAGG